rnacentral:lncRNA from 1 species
ACCUAGACCAUAUCAAAAGAUGAACAUUUUAUGGCUUGGCUAAAUAACAGAAAAUUGAUCAAGUUGAACAACCAAUAGAAAUCAUAUUGAUCGGCAUUAAGUAUCAGAUUAAAAUGGACUGUCUAGAAUAUGCAGGGAAAAUAUGUAACAAAAUGAGCAGAAUUUAUACUAGGGCUAAAUUAUUGGACUCCUAAUAAACAGAAUUAGAGGACUACCAUUAUGUGAUAAUGAUGCAAAAUCAAUAGAAUGGAACAUUCUUGAUUUGUAACUUAAAGGUCAUUCUGAGCAAGAAUACCUCUAUGUUUCCAACAUCCUCCAUUGGUUGCCUGUAAUUAGCUUGACCACUUAAAUAAUCUCCACCAUUCCGCCGAUUUGAAAAUACAGGUGAUGAUGCCCUGAUACUGUGUUCAGGAUUUGAAAAUACAGGUGAUGAUGCCCUGAUACUGUGUUCAGGAGUUGGAAUUGUGUUCUGAAGAUGCUCCGAUCCUGCCUCUUUCAUUGCUAAGGCUGAUUUGAGGCAAGAUAUCUAACAUAAUAGAAGAGGGGGCGAAAAAUUCUAUAAAUUGAAAUAAAAAGAAUUUUUUUUGGAAAAAAGAAUAACAAAAAAAAUAGACUAUGAAC